ACCUGAGCUUUAAAGAAUGAAGAUUACCCUUGAUAAUGUGGGUGAGGCCUCGUCCAAUCAGUUGAAGGCCUUAAGAGCAAAA